CAUCACCAUGUUUUCAUCUGGCCAAAUCUCACAAUUAUGUUUACUCAGCCAAAGAUGGAAAAACGGCCUCCCCAACAGCUCUUAGGAAGUUUAUAACUCUGUCACCAGAAUCUGAUGUUUGUGGGAAUUUACUUUCACAGCAUAAUUGGCCAUAUAAGGUGGAGCUUAGUUACACCACCACUGAACAUAAGAAGCAGUCCAGUACAAGGAGUCCUUCUUGGAGCUCGUUCAGGGAGUUGGGUUGUUAAAGGACCAGCGGAUACAAGAAUAUGAGUGCAGUAACUUUAAUUGUAUCCCCAGCACCUAGGACAGUGGUUGGCCCAUAGUAGAUCUCCUUAACAUGCACCAUAUUUCCCACUUCUGUUUCCUGCAACCUGCCAAUUCUUCAGGCCAUGAUUGAGGAAGCAUGUCACUCCAGUUGUUAUCAUCUAACAUUAAAGGACAGAACUGCCAUAGGAUAGAACUAGCAAUGCAAAUGGCAGAUGAAGAGAUGGACAGCAUCUGGGUGUUGAUAACAUCUUCAAAUUUCUGAAUCAAACUUUGCUGAAUUUCUCAGUCUUAUGGACUUUCCAUUAUAUUAACCAAUAAAUAUCUAGGCUUUAUGCCUGCAACUGAAAGGCAACCUAAUGGUGGGCCUAGAAGAAAGUUCCUUGAUGGAACAAUAAGCCACAUCACUGUGAAA